UCUGGUCAAUGUGUGGACUAAUGGCCUGGUCAAAACCCUUUGCCUAUAUUUGAGGCAACUUGAAGUCCCUUUCCAACUCAAGGGUUCUCUGCAAGAUCAAAUUCGUCCUGUGUAGCUCCUUCAUCACCUCUGCCCAACCCUGCUUCUCUCAUUUUCUUACAGGUAUUGGUUUUGAAAAUGCUCCCAAGGAAAGCUGCAUACAAAUAUCCAUCUCAGAGUCUAAUUCCAAGGAACCCAGUCCAGAUGGCUGCCUUCCAGAGUCUGGGUUCUCUGCCACUGUUUGAUAUGGCAGGCAGUCUAUUAGUCAAUGAGAAUGAAAUCAUGUUCUUGAAACCAGGAAUCCCGAGAGGACCCACAUAUCCUCUGAAAGAAGCCAACUGCUCCUGCAGGACCCGGGAGACACCCAAAAUACUGUAAGUGCC
rnacentral:lncRNA from 1 species